AUAGAGAAAAGGGGGAAGAAAAAAGAUCAAGAGAAGAAGAAGCCUUCCAUCAUUGUGAUCCAGGGGCCUAAGCCCGGGAAACCAACUGACCUUUCAAGGAUGCGCCAAAUACUUGUGAAACUCAAGCACAAUCCUCCUCCUCAUAUGAACCCAAAACCACCACCACCACAAACAGAACCUACCAAAGAUGCAAAAACCAGCCCUGCUGUUGGUUCUGGCACUGCUACCUCAAAGCCUGCAGCCCCUGCAACUCCCAAGGGUGUGGCUGCAGCUUGAGAGACAUUCUACCUCCCUGCUGAAUCUGCUUAUGUGAAGAGUAACUAGCUAUGUUUCAGAAAUGUUUAUUUGGUAUGAUCUUGAACAUUAU
rnacentral:lncRNA from 1 species